GCUGGGCAUGGUGGUGUGUGCCUGUAGUCCCACCUACUCAGGAGACUGAGGGUGGAGGAUCACUUGAGUCCAGUUCUGGGCUGUAGUGCACUAUGCAGAUUGGGUGUCCCCACUAAGUUUGGCAUCAGUAUGGUGACCUCCCGGGAGCGGGAGACCACCAGGUUGCCUAAGGAGGGGUGAACUGGCUCAGGUCGGAAACGGAACAGGUCAAAACUCUGGUGCUGAACAGUAGUGGGAUCGUGCCUUUGAAUAGCCACUGCACUCCAGCCUGGGCAACAUAGUGAGAUCCCAUCUCUU
rnacentral:SRP_RNA from 1 species